CUCCAGCCUCCUUCCCGGUUCCCCGAGGGGUGGCCCCGCCCCGGAAGUGACGGACCCGGAAGGCGCCGCAACCUGCGGCCUGGCGGGCCCUGGCUGAGGAGCCGGCGGCGCGCGGGGAUCCCGCUGGGGAAACUGAGUGGCAGAGAGGUGAGGCGGGUCACCUGGGGUCCGAACAUCACCAUCAGAGCCAGGAACAGAACACACAUCCCGUCAUUUCGAGCGCCACGCCCUGUCCACCAGUGAACACUCGGAGGCUGGAACCAAUGAAAAUGUGCUGCCAGAUUGUCCCUGCCGAUUAACCCAGCCUAUACAGGCUACUAUGGAAGAGCCCAGAACAGCAGAGAACUUGAGAGAGGCUGGGGCUUCUUCAGAACCGUCCGGCACAGGGCAGAAUGCUUUCAAGAAGCGGGGCACCAAGACAAGUGGGAGACCAGGACCAGGGGAUGCCAGCAA